GACGAACGCUGGCGGCGUGCUUAACACAUGCAAGUCGAGCGGAGCGGCGAACGGGUGAGUAACGCGUGAGUAACUGCCCCCCUCUCUGGGAUAACAGUUGGAAACGGCUGCUAAUACCGGAUAGUGGGGGAUGGCUCGCGUCCUAUCAGGUUGUUGGUGGGGUAGUGGCCUACCAAGGCGACGACGGGUAGCCGGCCUGAGAGGGCGACCGGCCACAUAGGGCGGAUAUACGGCCGAAACUCCUACGGAGGGCAGCAGGGGGGAAUAUUGAACAAUGGGCGAAAGCCUGAUGCAGCGAGGCCGCGUGGGGGAUGAAGGCUUUCGGGUUGUAAACCUCUUUCGCUAUCGAAAGGGUAGGUGGAGAAGAAGCGCCGGCUAACUACGUGCCAGCAGCCGCGGUAAUUC
rnacentral:rRNA from 1 species